CAUGGAUGAUCAUGCGAUUAAUCGUGAUGAAUAUAAUAUUCCGUUUCUACCAACAGAACCCCCGAAAUGUUACACACACAGAGGAAAUUUCCCGCAAUAUGUUUUCACUUCCUGCCUUACAACAGCGUCUUCCAUCAUAUCAAUUAAAGGGUAUUGAUCCUAUAAACGCUCCUCUCUGGAGAGGCCGGUGUAAUCAAACUUCCUCUCAAAUGACUCCAGAGCUGAUGGAAGAUGCCUGAAGGAAAGCAACCCGCAGCUCUGACAAACACAAGAGUAGUACUGUGUGGUUUUUUUUAGUUUGUCUUGUUGAAAGGAUAGGAGGAGAAAUGCAUUUCAACAGGGCCCAGUCAAUAUAAUUGAACAUGAUUAUUGAUUAAAAAACAAACUAAAAAAACCCAAAAAACAAUAAAAGUAACUGAGGGGUUAAAAACUCCUUAAAAGAAAUGUGCACUGACAAAUAACUGCCAGUACCAAUUUAAGAAAAGCUUGUUUAAUUUGAAACUGUCAUAAGCUGAGUUUUGUUGACACAUGUGAUAGUUGCAUGUGUUGUUUUUUAUCAUUUGACCACCUUUAACCAUAUAACCAUUUGAUCAUUUUCAACAAUAUUCAAUUUCAUUAUGUCCAUUCACCAUUUUGAAAACUACUCGUCUUGAGUUACUUUGAAGGUGAUUCAUUAUAUUUUACUGUGUGAUUUCUAUGAUGUGGACGAUGAGGGAAUGAGGCCUUGAAAAUUGAAGAGCUAAACAGUUCUUAGAAAAGAUUUGAUAAGAAUAAGGAAGGUUUUACUUUUGAGUUUUAUCUUUAUGUUUUACUAGAUGUGAUUUUUAUAUCCAAAAAAACAAGCAUUUUGAUGUGCAUUUGUAACUGCGUAGGUAAAUCGCACGUGCUUCAAACAUGUAAGGUGUGUGCGUUUAUCUCUCUUUUUGGUGAACUUAGCGUGCCAAGUAAAGUUCAUGUUCGUGUGUUAACUGUGUGCAAGGCAGGUGCAAAAACCACAAGUUUGCAGAAGCAACAGGUAAACAGGAAAAGCAACUGUUGCAAACAGGAAAACAUCUGCUUAGACAGGGUGCUUCUGUUCUGAGCUGGUGCAGAGUUGCGGGCAGAGUACAUGUAUAUAACACAUGAAGUUGAACCGCUUCGAGGCUCGCUUUCCUGAUGCUCCGAGAGGUAAGUUCAGUGCUCUCCGCACUACGGCAAACAUUACUGAGAUGAAGUAAAUACCGAGGCCAUGCUGUUAUGUUAUUAAAGGGAGAAUCAGUGAACAGAGUUAAAGAUGUAACUUCAUGUUUGAUUGAUCGCUUUGAAUAGAUCUAACAGUAGGCCAGUAGUUUAAUAACAUAGUUUACUCCAAGUCGAGAACAGAGCCGGCUAAUAGCCGAGGAGGAGUUCAGAUUGGGGGUACUACGAUAACAACGGGACGUUCACACUGAGAACUAGCCGUUUCUCUCGGGAGCUACGGGAUCGCUAGCAACCGUGAUACUGAUCCUUGAGUGUUAUAGGCGGCAGAUUAAUGAACGUGCCGUUUUUGACACUCUGAGGGCAAUCGUCUUGUAAGCUCUCGGUUUAUAAAUAAAAUAGGUGGUAGAAGGUGUUGAAACAACUCCUAGAAAUAGGAUCAUAGUGGUAGAGGUCUUUCUGACGCUUGUUUUAACAGUCUCUAAUUUUAGUUUAGGUUGUCUAUAUAAACAGUAUAUACAAAUGCUGAAGCAAAAAAAAACAAAAACAUACAGUUGUAUUUCAGUGGCUUUAAGAUAGCAUGAACCCGUUUUAGAUAAUAACUGUAUAUACAGUACAGUGUAUUUGUAUAUGUGUUUUUAAUUAAACACUAUGAAGCUCAACUUCUUCUUUCAUCUCUUUACCUGUUGACAAAACUCAAACUGUAUGUUCAGCCUCCUUGUGUGAUGGAGAUUCAUAUCCAUCACAUGUAAUUAAAGUUUUGUGUGUAUAAAUUUGCAAUCAUGAGACUGACAGACUGGCUUUUUUUCAAUGCUUAAGUCUUUUAAUUGUGUAGAAGAUAAGAAAAACACUCCAGAAUGAAAAGGCCAAACAGGCUACAUUCAUUAAGUAGUUUAACAGUAACAGGAAAGAAGUAUAGAUUACUACAUGCAAGAGGCUACAGAUGAUGAAGACACAGAUAAUCACGCAUUCACA